rnacentral:rRNA from 1 species
GAGCCGGAAAGGCCCUUCGGAGUAACUCGAGCGGCGAACGGGUGAGUAACACGUGAGCAACCUGCCCUUGGCUUUGGGAUAACCCCGGGAAACCGGGGCUAGUACCGAAUAUGACUCCUGUCCGCAUGGGUGGGAGUGGAAAGUUUUUCGGCUGAGGAUGGGCUCGCGGCCUAUCAGCUUGUUGGUGGGGUAAUGGCCUACCAAGGCUUCGACGGGUAGCCGGCCUGAGAGGGCGACCGGCCACACUGGGACUGAGAUACGGCCCAUACUCCUACGGGAGGCAGCAGUGGGGAAUAUUGCACAAUGGGCGAAAGCCUGAUGCAGCGACGCCGCGUGAGGGAUGAAGGCCUUCGGGUUGUAAACCGCUUUCAGCAGGGACGAAGCGAAAGUGACGGUACCUGCAGAAGAAGCGCCGGCUAACUACGUGCCAGCAGCCGCGGUAAUAAU